AAAAUUUAGCCAGCACAUGUUCUUUCCAGAUAUUUCAAUGGGCUUGUUUGAAGAUAAUCCUUCCUGACAUUCUUAGUGCUUCUAUAUGGUCAGAGCCUUCUGAGUAGUGGAAGCACAGUUCCAUAAAAAUGGAGAAUGUUUCUACUCCCCUAGGGCCAUUUGCUCCAAGAGUGAUGAAUCCCUGGAACCCUCUUUUCUUAUCUCACAAAGAACUGAAUGGUCACAUUCCAGGCUACAGAGCUUCUCUGCUUCUUCAAGUGGGGUCUGUUUGAAAUGUGCAGAGUACAACAGCGAGUACUUGGGUGCUUCACUCAGUGGGUUUCUGGAGUUUUCAAAACCUUGAUGACUAGCACUUGGGAGGCUGGGGCAAGAGGAUGGCUGUGAGUUGGAGGCCAGCUUGAGCUACAUGGGUACAGAAUCAGGAAAGUUAAAGGAUUCCUGAAGAAAGAUAAAAUCUGAAAGAUUUACUACAGGAUAAGUAAGCAGGGAGAAUAAAGACGCGUGAGGCAGAGGAGACGCUGUACAAAAGCCCAACAGGAAGUAAAAGAGAUUACUAUGAUGAGAGGUGGAGAGCUUGGAGGCAGGCACAGAAGUGGUGCGGAGGGAGAAAUUCCUUCCAUAAUAGGAGUACUCUCUUGGCCUUCUCUGUAACCAAAUGUUUGUAUGAACCAUCAACCACCUGGCACCUGACCCCCAUGGAAAGGAAAUGCGCUUUCAGCUCUUUAUUUCAUGCAACUCAGCUGGAGAAUGUCUGUAACGAUGUCAUGUUAACAAGGGAGUGAAAAAGUGAAUGCAUGAAUAGCCUCAAUGCCUUGGCCUCCUCACCCUCAAAAAAGAGCACUGUUAAUGAGUUGAAAGUACAUAUGAGAAGGUAUCAACUUUUUUAUAUACUAGUUCUACAGAUAUACUUGAGGAAUUCUUACAUUAGAGAUCAAGAAUUCUAAGCAAAGACUUAUAAUAUUAAUUUAAAAAUAACAGGAUCAAAAACUAC